ACGAACUGCUAAUACCGCAUACGAUCUAAUCUCGGCAUCGGGGAUAGAUGAAAGGUGGCCUCUACAUGUAAGCUAUCACUGAAGGAGGGGAUUGCGUCUGAUUAGCUAGUUGGAGGGGUAACGGCCCACCAAGGCGAUGAUCAGUAGCCGGUCUGAGAGGAUGAACGGCCACAUUGGGACUGAGACACGGCCCAGACUCCUACGGGAGGCAGCAUG
rnacentral:rRNA from 1 species